GAGAUAUGAUGAGUGGUCUAAUCUCGCAUUAAAUUUGCGAGUUAGGUGUCUGCCCCCAAGCCUGGUUACGACAAUUGGGCACUCUCUUUGACCAAUUUGAUCUC